AAAGAAACUAACUAGGAUUCCCUUAGUAACGGCGAGUGAACCGGGAUGAGCUCAAAUUUAAAAUCUGGCGUCUUUCAGGCGUCCGAGUUGUAAUCUAUAGAGGCGUUUUCCGCGCCGGACCGCGUCCAAGUCCCUUGGAAUAGGGUAUCAAAGAGGGUGACAAUCCCGUACUUGACGCGACGACCGGUGCUCUGUGAUACGUUCUCAACGAGUCGAGUUGUUUGGGAAUGCAGCUCUAAAUGGGUGGUAAAUUCCAUCUAAGGCUAAAUAUUGGCGAGAGACCGAUAGCGAACAAGUACCGUGAGGGAAAGAUGAAAAGCACUUUGGAAAGAGAGUUAAACAGCACGUGAAAUUGUUAAAAGGGAAACGAUUGAAGUCAGUCGUGUGGGAGGUAUUCAGCCGUCUCUGGCGGUGUAUUUGCCUCUCACGGGUCAACAUCAGUUUGAUCCGGUAGAAAAAGGCGGGAGGAAGGUGGCACCCUCGGGUGUGUUAUAGCCUCCUGUCACAUGUG
rnacentral:rRNA from 1 species